AGCGAACGCUGGCGGCAGGCCUAACACAUGCAAGUCGAACGGAUCCUUCGGGAUUAGUGGCGGACGGGUGGGUAACACGUGGGAACGUGCCCUUUGGUUCGGAACAACUCAGGGAAACUUGAGCUAAUACCGGAUGUGCCCUUCGGGGGAAAGAUUUAUCGCCAUUGGAGCGGCCCGCGUCUGAUUAGCUAGUUGGUGAGGUAAAGGCUCACCAAGGCGGCGAUCAGUAGCUGGUCUGAGAGGAUGAUCAGCCACAUUGGGACUGAGACACGGCCCAAACCCCUACGGGAGGCAGCAGUGGGGAAUCUUGCGCAAUGGGCGAAAGCCUGACGCAGCCAUGCCGCGUGAAUGAUGAAGGUCUUAGGAUUGUAAAAUUCUUUCACCGGGGACGAUAAUGACGGUACCCGGAGAAGAAGCCCCGGCUAACUUCGUGCCAGCCGCCGCCGUAAGAC
rnacentral:rRNA from 1 species